rnacentral:rRNA from 1 species
CACCGCCCGUCACACCAUGGAAGUGGACUGUACCAGAAGCGAGUAGCUUAACCUUCGGGAGGGCGCUCACCACGGUAUGAUUCAUGACUGGGGUGAAGUCGUAACAAGGUACCC